rnacentral:lncRNA from 1 species
AGAGACUGUGGACGGAAUAGGGACACAACAGGGAGAGCAAGCGAUACCGGAGUUCUUCUGGGACCAACAAGUGGUAAAUGAGCUGGACAAGCUGGUUGAACAAGGCGUGUUGACCCAGGAUGACCUCUUGGCUUUCCCGUUGCAACAGUCACAGCAGGGCCACCUGAGGAAGCGGCGUGAGAGAAAGAUGAGGUCGUGGGUGGAUUCCCUGAGGCAAUUCGCUUAAGGCAACAUGGACAUGUAGACUUUCACAGACUGGCAUAAACUCACACUCAUAUAAACAGAUUUACAGUCACAAUAGACACACAGGCAUGGGAACAUGAAUGGACACAAACAUACUCUCACAUCCAGAUGUAUGACACACACACACACACAUAUAUGCACACAAUACUAAUGCACACUUACAAAUAUAAUUACAUAAUUUUCCAAAAUUUAGUUAUUUGUUUCGGUGUAAUAUUUUCCAAAUUUUGCGAAAAGAUUAAUGUCACUUUGCUGUUUACAUAUGGAAUAUUUCAUAAAAUAUUCUAUAUGGGAAUCCUGAUCUUGUUAUGGAGGUUAAUAAAAAUAAUCUUUUGUGAUCA